AGAGUUUGAUCCUGGCUCAGAGCGAACGCUGGCGGCAGGCCUAACACAUGCAAGUCGAACGGGCCCUUUCGGGGGUCAGUGGCAGACGGGUGAGUAACGCGUGGGAACGUGCCCAUCGGUUCGGGAUAACCCAGGGAAACUUGGGCUAAUACCGGAUACGCCCUUUUGGGGAAAGAUUCAUUGCCGAUGGAUCGGCCCGCGUCUGAUUAGCUUGUUGGUGAGGUAACGGCUCACCAAGGCGACGAUCAGUAGCUGGUCUGAGAGGAUGAUCAGCCACACUGGGACUGAGACACGGCCCAGACUCCUACGGGAGGCAGCAGUGGGGAAUAUUGGACAAUGGGCGCAAGCCUGAUCCAGCCAUGCCGCGUGAGUGAUGAAGGCCCUAGGGUUGUAAAGCUCUUUCACCCACGUCGAUAAUGACGGUAGUGGGAGAAGAAGCCCCGGCUAACUUCGUGCCAGCAGCCGCGGUAAUACGAAGGGGGCUAGCGUUGCUCGGAAUCACUGGGCGUAAAGGGCGCGUAGGCGGCCGAUCAAGUCAGGGGUGAAAGCCUGUGGCUCAACCACAGAAUUGCCUUCGAUACUGUCUGGCUUGAGACCGGAAGAGGUAAGUGGAACUGCGAGUGUAGAGGUGAAAUUCGUAGAUAUUCGCAAGAACACCAGUGGCGAAGGCGGCUUACUGGUCCGGUUCUGACGCUGAGGCGCGAAAGCGUGGGGAGCAAACAGGAUUAGAUACCCNNGUAGUCC
rnacentral:rRNA from 1 species